rnacentral:rRNA from 1 species
UAGGGAAUCUUCGGCAAUGGACGGAAGUCUGACCGAGCAACGCCGCGUGAGUGAAGAAGGUUUUCGGAUCGUAAAGCUCUGUUGUAAGAGAAGAACGAGUGUGAGAGUGGAAAGUUCACACUGUGACGGUAUCUUACCAGAAAGGGACGGCUAACUACGUGCCAGCAGCCGCGGUAAUACGUAGGUCCCGAGCGUUGUCCGGAUUUAUUGGGCGUAAAGCGAGCGCAGGCGGUUAGAUAAGUCUGAAGUUAAAGGCUGUGGCUUAACCAUAGUAGGCUUUGGAAACUGUUUAACUUGAGUGCAAGAGGGGAGAGUGGAAUUCCAUGUGUAGCGGUGAAAUGCGUAGAUAUAUGGAGGAACACCGGUGGCGAAAGCGGCUCUCUGGCUUGUAACUGACGCUGAGGCUUGAAAGCGUGGGGAGCAAACAGGAUUAGAUACCCUGGUAGUCCACGCCGUAAACGAUGAGUGCUAGGUGUUAGACCCUUUCCGGGGUUUAGUGCCGCAGCUAACGCAUUAAGCACUCCGCCUGGGGAGUACGACCGCAAGGUUG